ACACAUCCGAGUCCCUAUAUACCUCAUCUAUUUUGAAUCUGCGCUUUUUUUGCUUUUUCUUUUUGCUAGAGAGUCUAGGGAUUACAUCGUGCAAAGUAUUUCCAUCAUCAUCAGUUUGACAAUGGCUUGAUAUGAUAUGUGUACAAAAAUCGAUGUCCUCGGGGGAUCUGUGUGAUGUUUAUCUUGGCACUUCGAAGUUUGGAACACUUGGAAAAAAUGAAAGUAAAAAAAGAAAAAAAGAAUCAUUAGCUUUAACGGUUGAUGCAUUACUCAUUUAUCAGAAGCUUAGAAGCAUCCUGUACUGUGCUUUUUUGUGGAGCAGUUUUUAGAACUGUUUUAAAGUUGUGUUUAUAUUGUUCCUGCAUUUACUUUGUAUUGUUUGUGACCAUGUUUUCAGUAGAAACAUAUCUUUACAGGUUCAUCAUUCAAAACUUCAACAGCACUUCAAAUCAGCUCCUCCUGUUUUAGUUUCUAUUCUUUUACCCCAAUCUCAUUUUAUUUCUUCUCAUGGCUGUCAGCUUGUUGGAAAAAAAAAAAAAAGAAAAAAAGAACACAGGUCAUUUUCCCAAGGUAGGAUAAGUGUCCCACCUGGAAUUUUAUUGUAGGCACCAGUCAUGAUAUCAUUACUCUCUUGAAUUCUAGUCUACUCCAAAAACUUGUCUUAUUAUCAAUGUUAAUUGUAGGAAUGAAGAAAUGCAAUGCAAACGUUUUGUUUUAUUAAAUUAUUUGGCAGACAAAAGUGGAUGAAUGAAUGAAUCUGUGAUGCUAAGUUCAGCUUGUUAACAGCAAAAAGCUCAUGAAUCCCUCCAAUGGCAAUGGAUGAUCCAUUCUGAGUUGCAGGGGACUGUUUGUGAUUAGUUGUCAACAACCAAGAGGGACUAGAGAGAGAAAAAGGUGCAUGUGAGGAAAGGAGAGAAAGAGAGAAGACAAAAGCAAAUCCACAGUUGAAAGCUCAAACAUGGGUUGGUGCUCACGGCCGCAUUGGUUAUUAGGGUAAUCAAAUCACAUGCAUUAGGGGCAUAGGCUUUGGUAUUCCUUUAGUGAGUGCAAUGAUUAUGCAAAUAAGCACCACCACCACCACCCCAUUACACAACAUAUGCCCCUCUAGAACCACACGUACGCAUACAAAACUGAAGUGACUGCACACCAAUUCUCCUCUCUUUCCACCAUCUUUCAUCAUCCUAAGAUAAGAUUCUUCCCCAUGCAUGCUUUAGUUUCCACAAUAUGUUUAUAUCCAACACAUCUUAGACAGCUAUGGAACCCACUUCUUACCACAAUAGAUAUACAUAUUCCUGUAAAUUGAAUGCUACUUUCGUCGAUGUGCUUGUAUAUUCUCGAUUCACAUCAAUGCAGAAUGCCCAACGACCC